rnacentral:rRNA from 1 species
ACGGGAGGCAGCAGUGGGGAAUAUUGCACAAUGGGGGAAACCCUGAUGUAGCGAUGCCGCGUGGAGGAGGAAGGUUUUCGGAUUGUAAACUCCUGUCUUAAAGGACGAUAAUGACGGUACUUUAGGAGGAAGCUCCGGCUAACUACGUGCCAGCAGCCGCGGUAAUACGUAGGGAGCGAGCGUUGUCCGGAAUUACUGGGUGUAAAGGGAGCGUAGGCGGGAUUGCAAGUCAGAUGUGAAAUAUACGGGCUCAACCUGUAGACUGCAUUUGAAACUGUAGUUCUUGAGUGAAGUAGAGGCAAGCGGAAUUCCUGGUGUAGCGGUGAAAUGCGUAGAUAUCAGGAGGAACGCCGGUGGCGAAGGCGGCUUGCUGGGCUUUUACUGACGCUGAGGCUCGAAAGCGUGGGGAGCAAACAGGAUUAGAUACCCUGGUA